CCUACGGGUGGCAGCAGUGAGGAAUAUUGGUCAAUGGGCGAGAGCCUGAACCAGCCAAGUCGCGUGAAGGAUGACGGCCCUACGGGUUGUAAACUUCUUUUGUCAGGGAGCAAUUGGGUCCACGCGUGGGCUUAGCGAGAGUAACUGAAGAAAAAGCAUCGGCUAACUCCGUGCCAGCAGCCGCGGUAAUACGGAGGAUGCUAGCGUUAUCCGGAUUUGUUGGGUUUAAAGGGUGCGGAGGCGGAAUAUCAAGUCAGCGGUAAAAAUUCGGGGGACAACCCCGUCGUGCCGUUGAAACUGAUGUUGUUGAGAGGGCGAGUAGGAUGCGGAAUGAGUGGUGUAGCGGUGGAAGGCAUAGAUAUCACGCAGAACUCCGAUUGCGAAGGCAGCAUACCGGCGCCCAACUGACGCUGAAGCACGAAAGCGUGGGUAUCGAACAGGAUUAGAUACCCUUGUAGUC
rnacentral:rRNA from 1 species